AGAGAGAGAACAAAGAGCAGGUGUGAUCGGAGCUCAGGAAAUCCUCCCUCUGGCACUGGAGACACAGAAAUGAAAGAGACAACGUGCCCUCAAGGAUCUCACAGUGUGUGGUGAGGUGGACACACACACACAUAUCUAAGCACAUGACAGUGAGAGGCACGUGGUCACGAGGUUGUGACGUGGAGCUGAGAGCUCAGAGGAAGGGCUUUGGAUCAAGUGUGGUCAGACCACACUCGGCCAUGAAAGUCUUUGAAGGUGGGGAAGGGGUGAAGAUGGUGAGGGGAUUCCACGGCUGGGAGAGGUACACUCCCUACACGUUCUAACCAACUGGCCGUGGGGAGGAAGCUGGAGGUCAGGACACAGGUAGGGCCUGGGUUUUUGCCUCAUGUGACUGGGUGGAUGGUCACAAUUCGGCCAUG
rnacentral:lncRNA from 1 species